rnacentral:rRNA from 1 species
CAGUCGCCGCGGUAAUACGAAGGGGGCUAGCGUUGCUCGGAAUGACUGGGCGUAAAGGGCUCGCAGGCGGUUUCUUAAGUCUGAUGUGAAAGCCCCCGGCUCAACCGGGGAGGGUCAUCGGAAACUGGGAAACUUGAGUGCAGAAGAGGAGAGUGGAAUUCCACGUGUAGCGGUGAAAUGCUUAGAGAUGUGGAGGAACACCAGUGGCGAAGGCGACUCUCUGGUCUGUAACUGACGCUGAGGAGCGAAAGCGUGGGGAGCGAACAGGAUUAGAUACCCCCGUAGUCCCUGUCUCUUAUAC